GAAACUCAUUGAUUAUACUAAAGCCGCUAACUUUAAGUAAUAGCGGUUAAAAUCCGUUAAAGUUUCU
rnacentral:tRNA from 2 species